rnacentral:rRNA from 1 species
UGGAAACUNUCUGACUUGAGUGCAGAAGGGGAGAGUGGAAUUCCAUGUGUAGCGGUGAAAUGCGUAGAUAUAUGGAGGAACACCAGUGGCGAAAGCGGCUNUCUGGUCUGUCACUGACGCUGAGGCUCGAAAGCGUGGGUAGCGAACAGGAUUAGAUACCCUGGUAGUNCACGCCGUAAACGAUGAGUGCUAGGUGUUAGGCCCUUUCCGGGGCUUAGUGCCGGAGCUAACGCAAUAAGCACUCCGCCUGGGGAGUACGACCGCAAGGUUGAAACUCAAAGGAAUUGACGGGGGCCCGCACAAGCGGUGGAGCAUGUGGUUUAAUUCGAAGCAACGCGAAGAACCUUACCAGGUCUUGACAUCCCGAUGCUAUUCUUAGAGAUAGGAAGUUACUUCGGUACAUCGGAGACAGGUGGUGCAUGGUUGUCGUCAGCUCGUGUCGUGAGAUGUUGGGUUAAGUCCCGCAACGAGCGCAACCCUUAUUGUUAGUUGCCAUCAUUAAGUUGGGCACUCUAGCGAGACUGCCGGUAAUAAACCGGAGGAAGGUGGGGAUGACGUCAAAUCAUCAUGCCCCUUAUGACCUGGGCUACACACGUGCUACAAUGGUCGGUACAACGAGUUGCGAGCCGGUGACGGCAAGCUAAUCUCUGAAAGCCGAUCUCAGUUCGGAUUGGAGGCUGCAACUCGCCUCCAUGAAGUCGGAAUCGCUAGUAAUCGCGGAUCAGCACGCCGCGGUGAAUACGUUCCCGGGCCUUGUACACACCGCCCGUCACACCACGGGAGUUUGUAACACCCGAAGUCGGUGAGGUANCCUUUUAGGGGCCA